UCCAGACUCCUACGGGAGGCAGCAGUGGGGAAUAUUGGGCAAUGGGCGCAAGCCUUACCCAGCAAUACCGCGUGAGUGAAGAAGGUCUUCGGAUUGUAAAGCUCUUUGAUCAGGGACGAACAGAUGACGGUACCUGAAGAACAAGCACCGGCUAACUCCGUGCCAGCAGCCGCGGUAAUACGGAGGGUGCGAGCGUUAAUCGGAAUUACUGGGCGUAAAGCGCUCGUAGGCGGUAUGUCAAGUCAAGGGUGAAAUCCCCGCGCUCAACGUGGGAACUGCCUUUGAAACUGGCAAACUGGAGUGUGUGAGAGGAUAGUGGAAUUCCAGGUGUAGGAGUGAAAUCCGUAGAUAUCUGGAGGAACAUCAGUGGCGAAGGCGACUAUCUGGCACAUAACUGACGCUGAGGAGCGAAAGCGUGGGUAGCAAACAGGAUUAGAUACCCGGGUAUA
rnacentral:rRNA from 1 species